rnacentral:rRNA from 1 species
AACGAACGCUGGCGGCAUGCCUAACACAUGCAAGUCGAACGAGACCUUCGGGUCUAGUGGCGCACGGGUGCGUAACGCGUGGGAACCUGCCUUUAGGUUCGGAAUAACAGAUAGAAAUGACUGCUAAUGCCGAAUAAUGUCUUCGGACCAAAGAUUUAUCGCCUUUAAGAUGGGCCCGCGUUGGAUUAGCUAGUUGGUGAGGUAAAGGCUCACCAAGGCGACGAUCCAUAGCUGGUCUUAGAGGAUGAUCAGCCACACUGGGACUGAGACACGGCCCAGACUCCUACGGGAGGCAGCAGUGGGGAAUAUUGGACAAUGGGCGAAAGCCUGAUCCAGCAAUGCCGCGUGAGUGAUGAAGGCCUUAGGGUUGUAAAGCUCUUUUACCAGGGAUGAUAAUGACAGUACCUGGAGAAUAAGCUCCGGCUAACUCCGUG